rnacentral:rRNA from 1 species
GUGCCAGCAGCCGCGGUAAUACAGAGGGUGCAAGCGUUGUUCGGAAUUACUGGGCGUAAAGCGCGUGUAGGCGGCUUAUUAAGUCGGACGUGAAAUCCCUUGGCUCAACCAAGGAACUGCGUCCGAUACUGCUAGGCUUGAGUGUCGGAGGGGGUGGCGGAAUUCCUGGUGUAGAGGUGAAAUUCGUAGAUAUCAGGAGGAACACCUGUGGCGAAGGCGGCCACCUGGAAGACAACUGACGCUGAGACGCGAAAGCGUGGGGAGCAAACAGGAUUAGAUACCCUGGUAGUCC